rnacentral:misc_RNA from 1 species
GUUUUUAUCCCAGAAAAUUUUGAAAUUAUUAUAUUAAAAAUUGUUAAUAAGUUGUCUAUACUUGUUCCUGAAGUAAUUUUUUUUACCUUAAAAAAAAAAUCAAUAUCUUGUUAAAUAGCUACUUUUGAAAGGGCUAAAGUUAAAAAAGCAGCUAAAUGAGGUAGAGAACAAAAUACCACACUUAUGUAAGCAACUUAAACAACCAUGGAAGAUUUCUCCAAACGGAAUAACAAUUAUUUGGGUGAAAGACACAAACCAAAUGCAUAAUAGUGAAUAAACACCAAAGUGACAAUUUUUACAAGCCAAUUAUCAAUAACAUACAGAACAUGAACAUUUAUUAUUUAAGGUUUUCAAUAUAGAACAAACCUGUAUUCUCUAUAUCGAUCAU